UUUUAACGGUACUGAAACAUCUAAUCCAAGGGUGGCCAACGUUUAGUCCUUGAGAGCCAAAGUCCUGCAGAGUUCAAAUCCAACCCUAAUCAAACACACCUGAACCAGCUAAUCAAGGUAUGAGGGUGUCUAGAAACCUUCAGUGAGUUCCUGACUGUUAAAAGUGGAUUCUCCUGGAAAAUCAACAGCUGCUGAGUAAUGCAGGAGCCUCCAUCCUCAUGUGCAGACCUGACUCAUGAAGUGGUUUGGCACCUCCAUAGUCCCAGAGCUGAAGCUGCAGUCCGCUCCUCUUUGGCUGGACUGAGACCUUGAUUCUACCAGAGGACAUGACUUCACUUUCUUCCAGACCACACACUAAACAAUUUUCCUCCGGUUAGCUGGGAUCUUUGAGUUGGAUGUGUUAUCCUUUACAUGGAGUUCUUCGGUAUUUACCUGAAUAAGCCUCAUGUCAGCAACUUUUCUUGCCUCAUUUGCGCGUGGCCUUUGGAAAUGUGGAGAAUAUUGGUUCAGUUUCUUGAGCCGUAUUCAACCAGACACGGAUGCACUUCUCACACCAUGAACAGCUGAGCUGGGUGGCUUCUUGGAUGAGUUGGAUGUGCUCCUGUCCAGUUUCUGAAUGGCAAUUCUUUGAGACUGAUAUAGCCAUGUUCUCCAGCAAAGCUGUUGUGGAUUGUGUCCAUCCUUCAAUUCAUCUUUAUCAGCCAGUGUUAGGUUUACUGUUUAAUGUGGAGCAGAACCGACAGACAGGUGCAGAUACAAA